AUCUAUUUUAUCGUGGUCCAUUUAAAAUUGCUGUGAAGGACCUAGAAUAAAAUUCUGCUUAGUAACUAAUUUAAUCAAAUAUUUUACUCUUAAGGUUUAUUCUUUUUGUUCUGAUUCAUACUUUUCUAUAUGUGGGUAUUCUAGAAGUUUGCAAUCCAUGAAAACUAAUGAUGAUUCCUCAUGUGAAAUGGGAGACACAUGUUGUUCUCUCAAGGGACAAGGAUCUUCUUCAAUCCCUGCAUCCCCCACAUAGUGGCACAAAGGAAAUAUUUGUUGAAUGAAUGAGGUUAGUUGCUUUUCCUUUUUAAAAUAAUCUUGAUGUGUCACUACAUAUUUUGGUACAAAUGCUUUCAAUAUUUGGUUAUUCAAAGAGACUGAGUUGGCAAAACUUUAAAUAGAUGCUAUGGUAGAAGCAGUAAAGCUUGUAUUUAGCUUGGAUAUGUUGAGAAGAAACAUGCGUACAUUUUCAUCUUCAUGAUCCUCCUCACCUAAAGCCAUGGGCUAUUGGAAUGUCUACAGAGUAGGUUGUACAUACAAAGACAUUUUUGCUCUUACUCGUUGGAACCCCUGAAUAUAUCUGGUCCCAUCACCACAGGUUCGUGGUGACGUUUUUCAAAACUAAAAUUAAAAAAUAAUGGAUCAGUAAAAACUCACCAUAAGAAGAUCUGUAAUAAAAACUCCCAAACACAGAUAAUGGAAAAAUGUAAUGUUAUUGACUCAGAUAAAUAUAAGCCAUUGACUUUAACUUGAGAAAUGCAGCUUUUCCCCCAACUUUCUUACAGAUUCCUCAAUUAUAGUACAGAGGAGUUAAAAUUUAAGUGCUUCCCGAUUCUAAAGUAGCUGGUCCAAUUUCGACCAAUUUGGAUCAGCUACUUUUCUUCUCCAUUUGAAACUUUCCAACAAUAAAGAAGAUAGUCUUCUUGUACUUGAUCUCUACAGAAUUAAACAGAUGCUGUUUUUGGUGUGGACCCAAAUCAUAGCCCCUCAAUGAGUCUGUCAGCAGAGCUGGAAGUCACCAACUUUUAAAAGUAAAGUCCUAAUCCCUUAUUUUAUGAAAAUUAUAGUGCCACUGGAGGCAGAAAUCUAUCUUGCCCUCAAAAACUAUUGCAC
rnacentral:lncRNA from 1 species